UACGUAGGGUGCGAGCGUUAAUCGGAAUUACUGGGCGUAAAGGGCGCGUAGGCGGCCUUGUAAGUCCUGUGUGAAAUCCCCCGGCUCAACUGGGGAACUGCACAGGAGACUGCUUGGCUUGAGUUCGGGAGAGGGAAGCGGAAUUCCGGGUGUAGCGGUGAAAUGCGUAGAUAUCCGGAGGAACACCGGUGGCGAAGGCGGCUUCCUGGACCGACACUGACGCUGAGGCGCGAAAGCCAGGGGAGCAAACGGG
rnacentral:rRNA from 1 species